CAACAACAUUUGGGACAUACUGAAAUACUGUAGACAGUAUUUAUUAGCAUCAAAUACAAGCUGAUGGCUUAAAAAGAUUUAAAAAGAUUAAUCAAGUUAGAAAAACUUGAAGUUUGAGUUAUUUCUUUCUUGAUAAUAUAUUGAAGACAAUAGUAAGGACAGCACUGAAGUAGGAGUGAUGUGUAUUUAAAGAUCUUACCUCUUUAAACUUGAAAAAGAGAAACAUGAAACCCCUGGACAUUCUUAGACCCUUUAUCUAUAUUCAAACUGCAUUAAUAAAAAUAAAAAUAUUUUAGCUUCAAUAAGUUUGUUCGUCUAGUCAAAUUACAUUUUCUUUUAGUUUUCACUCACUGCUUUAAGAUGAAACCAAAUAGUGAGCCUUUUCUGACUAAUCUGUCCUUUUGAUCAGCAACAAAACAAAACAAAUUUUACAAAAGUAUACAGCUCUAAUACAAAGACAAUAGACUUCAUAUAUAUUCAUGUUGAGGUGUUACCUUGUUUUUAAACAAAAUAUUUUUAAAUUGGGUUUUUGCUGUACAUUUAAAUGAUGUUUCAGUUUUCUGACAUGUUUGGUUUUUCUAUUAUUCCCUUAAAUAUGACGAUCUUUAAUUGAACCGACGCUCUGAGGUGAGACAACGCACAAUGCCUUUAGGCAAAAUCGACACAUUUCUUGUUGCUAUAGUUACCACUGAACAAAAAUAAACAGAUUUUACAGAACAAAACAAAUAAAUUAUUUGAUGGGUUUCCCACUGAAAAUAUUUAUAGUUGCAUGAUUCAGUUAUAAAAAUCUCAAGUAUAUUGGAUUUGUGUGAGAAGUUCAAAUAUCUCACAUAUUUUAUUGUAAUUCAAUUAAGUAGGUUGUCUAGUUAAAGUAAAUAUCCAUAUCUAUCUGUAGUUGUGCUCUUUCCUGCUUUAUUGAUAUAUUUUUUAUUUUUGCAUAGAAAUAAGUUAUUGGAUCAACUUGUUGUUUUGUGAGGCUGUGGGAGCAGAUCAGAGAUAAAAGAUUUAAUGAGAAGAAACACAAAUUUACAGUCAUGACAGGAGGAGAAAAAAACAAUGUUGCCUUAGAGAUGCCAUGUUUCAAUAACUGUGAAAAAUGGAGCCAAAAGGAAUGUUUAUGUUGGGUUCCAGGUGGUGGGGAUUAGUGCGUUUCCUUUUCAGUUCUUCGCCAGUCCACCAGAGGGAGCCAUUGGGUCACUCUGCUGGGGAGGGCGUGCCUGCAGGCUCUCAACUCUCCACACCUGAGAGGAAUCAUUGUCUGGAGGAGUAUAUGAGCAGCAGACAGCCAACACUUUCUUGCCAGAGUGUUUGCCAGUUUUUGGAAUCCUUUGAGGCCCUUGGGAUUGGUUUUCUCUAGUUCACCAGUCCAGAAGAAACCUUUUUCCGUGACGCCUCUGCUGUCUGCUCUGCAGCUCCUCUGUAGGGACAUAUCUGACCUGCCCACCCUCCAACACCUGGUCCAUCUCCACCCAGCCUACAUCAGCUCUCUCCUCAAUCUGGAACCACGUACCUCCAUCCGUCAUUCACCACUUGUUUUUUCAAACGCACCCGGACUCCGACCCGCUGACAUCUCUAGCAGAGCUUCUUUGUUUGAUUUUGUAUUUUUGCAAUAAACAUUUUUUUACGUCCA